GGCAGGUUUUCAUCAUGUAACAGCCCUUUGUUUCUUGUGACUAAAGACAUCUUUCAAGAAGGCUACAUAACUUGUACUGCAAGGGACCCAAUAAUAAAGAAAGCAAAAGAACCCUUCAUGCAAUAUCCCGGGGGAAAUAAUGGCAAAGAGAGCGGGAUGCAGCCUCUGGGAUUGACUGUUAAAUUAACGGGAGACACAGCAUUCCGUUGCACUGCCUAACCAUCGUGGAAAACAGACAUCGACAGCGAUAACGAAGCAAGUAAUGAAAUAACUCUCUCAUCUCGUCUCAGUGGGCCAACCCUCCUGCAGCUAUUUGUCACAAGCAGAUACCAGAGAGAACCAUGACCUCCAAGUGGGCGCCAGUUCUGAUUGGAAACCUGCAGAGCAGAGGGGGCCUGGUCAAGAGGUGAGAGUCGUCCACUCUGACCACCACCAGUCCGCUGCCUUCUCUGUGGCGGCACGUAAAGCCAUAAAGGCCGUCAGGGUUGCGGUUCUCCUGCACGACCAGCAGCAUGGCAGGAGACUGCGGUGACACCAGCUGGCUCAGGCUACCAAUGGCCAAACUCUUUUUCCGAGCUUUCUCCUGAAUGUAGAAACAGCAAUUUUACAUUCACAUAUGCAAAGGCACAGACCGCUUUAAUGUAAAUGGUUCAGAUUCUAAGGCAC